CACUAUCCUAUAAGACGUCUCAGAGUCUCCGUUGUAACUCAGUGCUCUGUCAGUAGUCCUGAGUGUUAGAGAUACGACGAUUCCUCUCGCGUUUAACAAUGAUGGCGAAAUGGUUCAUUUGCCUCCUGGCGAUGGCGUUAGUUCUAUUCCGGGAUGGGCAUUCUGAUACCUCCUUCUGCCCCCCCAACACGGUCAACAUUUCCAGCCACUGCUACUACUUCUUCCAGACCCCCGCGAGUUGGCACGAUGCCCGAGACCGCUGCACCGAAAUUGAAGGACGACUGGUCUCGCUAAUCGCCAGACCAAUAUACG